GAUGAAGAACGUAGCGAAAUGCGAUACGUAAUGUGAAUUGCAGAAUUCAGUGAAUCAUCGAAUCUUUGAACGCAUAUUGCGCUCUUUGGUAUUCCGAAGAGCAUGCUUGUUUGAGUAUCAGUAAACACCUCAACCUCUUCUUGAUUUUUCAAAAGGAGGGUGGACUUGAGCUAUCCCAACAACCUUUACCGGUCGGCGGGCGGCUUGAAAUGCAGGUGCAGCUGGACUUUUAUCUGAGCUAAAAGCAUAUCUAUUUAGUCCUCGUCAAACAGGAUUAUUACUUUUGCUGCAGCUAACAUAAAGGAUAAUUGUCCUCUCUGCUGACUGAUGCAGGAUUUUACGACACUUUAUGUGUUGUUCAACUCGAUCUCAAAUCAAGUAAGACUACCCGCUGAACUUAAGCAUAUCAAUAAGCGGAGGA
rnacentral:misc_RNA from 1 species